ACAAGCCUGAGAAACGGCUAGUAGGACUAAGGUCUGCAGCAGGCGCGAAACUUACACAAUGCUAGAUUUUUGAUAAUUAGCGAUGUAGUGAAGAAAAAUAACGAUGUACUUUCAUAUAAACAUGAUAGUACAAUUGGAAUGAGACGACUAUAAAUGAGUUAGUCGAGUAACAAAUGGAGGGCAAGUCUGGUGCCAGCAGCCGCGGUAAUUCCAGCUCCAUUAGCAUACAUUAAAGUUGUUGCGGUUAAAAAGCUCGUAGUUGAAUUUUAGGCGGGCUCUUUGGGGAUGUGGUCACAAAGUGAUUCGAAUUCGUUCUUAUCAUGAUCGCAUUUUCCCCUUAGGAACCCGCUGUUUCGUCACUUAAUCGAGUGCGAAGCGGGGUGGAUCAAUACAAGUUCGCUUGUUUGACACACCAUGUUUACCUUGAGAAAAUUAGAGUGCUCACAGCAGGCAGUUGGGGCGUUAAAACCCCUUUAAUGCUUGAAUAAUGUUGCAUGGAAUAAUAGAAUACGGCCUCGGUUCUAUUCUGUUGGUCUUAUAGAACAACAAACAAGUUGAUUAAGGCGUUAAAGGUUUGUUAUGAAUGGGGUUCAUUGGGUUUGCUAGUUACCUUGGAGUAAAAUCUAAGCGUCUUCUGCCCUUUAAACUAUUCCAAACUGUUCAUUAGCAGGCUAGCCUUUUGGGCAACUGACGCAAUGGUUAAAAAAAUUAGUCGCGGCGGCAUCAGUACUGCAUCGUGAGAG
rnacentral:rRNA from 1 species